UUUGCAUUCGUCCUGAAAUAAGCAAACAACAAGUGAUAAUUAGAAAGGCAAACAAGUAAAAAAAUCUAACAUAUUUAUACCAAAAGAUUAAGUUCCUCACAACAAAGUUUUUAAUUUCAAGAUUUAAGUCAUGGAAAAUGAGAAGGAAAGGAAAAAACAAAUUUGUUUGUUUAAAUAAUAGCAACAUGGAGUAUGAUUUAUUCUUACCCUAGCAAAUCCAGGUUUCAUACUUUCGGAAAGAACAACGGGGGAUUCACUUCUGUUCUACACAUCAACGCCUUCCAUAUCAUCAACGGGGGAUUUAUUUAAGAAGUACUGCCAUUAAGCAUCAUAAGAGCUUUAUUAUACAUACAAAUGUAGUAAUCUAGGUUUAGGGUUCAUAAACAAAUCUUAGGUAUCCGGAAUUAUAUAUACCACCAUGAAUUAGAUAGAAAUUUAAGGCCAAUGUUCUCUAGCAAGCUCAUUUUUUAGCCAACAUCAACUAGUUGGCAAAUCCAAGAAUAAUCUUCCGGUAUGCAUAGCCACUCAACUGUGCAUUUACCUUAUAAUUGAAAUCCUUAAAGUCCAGCACAAACAAAAUUGUUUAACUACUUUAGUCACCACAAGCUGAUAAAGGGUCCUAAUAUUUUGAUGGAAAACAAGAAAUGUUGUUUCUCAAUGAAAUAUAAUCAACGAAGCCAACAUAUAUCCCAAAACACCGUCAGUUCAUUGAAAUCAUUUACAAUUGAUCUAGUAUCACUCUCUCACAAAGGGGAAAGAAAUUAAGCAAAGCAUGUAACAUAUUAAGAUAUUAAAAUCAUACUAUUAUAAAUGUUAAUCUGCAAACCAUGAAGCAUCAACCAGUGACAAGAAACACAAGUCACUUGGCCUAAUGCAAAUACCAAAACCAAUCAUAUGCAUUGAAUUCAAUAAAUCAAAAGCAAAUUCAGAAAAUUUCAAGAUCAACUAAGCAAGCAUCAAAGAAGAACAAAGUUUCAGUCUCCAUUUCAAGAAUAUUUCAAUUUUCAACUAAAUAGGAUCAAAGCAUAUACCUAGAUAAAUCUGCAUGAGCAGCCAAUUAACCACGGCUCAGCCAUGGACGCUCCUAAUCCAUGAGCAAUCUGCAUCCUCCUCCCAUCUCCUCCGACUCCGCCCAACCUGUUCCCCAAUCAAAUUUUCUCCCAGCUUCAGAAAAUCUCAACCAACCCAUCACCAAUUUGAAAAAUAAUCUAAACAGAUCUAAAAUACUUCAAAAACAUAUGCAGGCAUCCACCAAACUUUAAUGAACAAAGUAAGCUGUCAAUGGCAUUAAUCAAUUUGAAGAAAUAGCAAUUUCUUCGCCAUUGGGACAUCCGUACAGCUCUUGAAAAAAAUGCGAAACUAAUUCCAUCCAUGGAAUGUAAUAUGCCAGUAAAUUAGCAGUAUUAUUCCAUCUAAUGUAAAUAUUGAGGUCACUAACACUCAGAUCUUGAUUAAAAAUAAUAAGUCUCUUAAACAUUGACAUAAAUAACACAAAAUAGGUUCAAUUUGCUAGACAAAUAUUCAGAUUAGAUGCUAAAGGAUGUAGACCUAAGCAAUUCUUACUUAGCAAGCAGAGAAUUUGAAUCUGAAUAAUAAAGCUAAAGGAUAUAGUAAUCUCAAAAGAAUGCAAAUGCCAAUAAUUGCCCUGUCAACAACGGACUGUUAUGCUUAAUAGUAAAAGGAGAAUUAUAUGAAUCCACAAAUAGAAAUGAAAAGGUCUAACCAACAAAAUAAUUCUGAUCGUAUAGCACAUCCCCACUACAUCUCCGUUUGUGCUUUAUGUAGCUUUGCAGUUGGCACUACGUGGUUAAUUCUUGUGUGCUACUCGUUCCUCUUAUUGAGAUGAUGCUUUUUAGUAUAAAACCUAAUGCAGUAAAAUAAAUCUGAAAGCAGAACACACAAAUAAAUCUGAGACUUUUUUUCUUGAAGAAGUUGCUGAACUAUUAGCCAUACCAGUAGCAAUAAAUCUGAAAGCAGAACACACAAUUUUCUUUAAAUUGUAGAAAUAAUUCGAACACCAAAUAUGACGAUUUUGGUUAACUAAUUUCCUUCAAUUUCGAUUAAACUCUAAUUUGAGACUUUGGGUGGAUGAUGUGUCACUCACUCAACCUCUGGACUUAACUUUCUCUCUGCAGCAAGAGAUCAACAGAUGCAACAAGAGUCUUAUAUAAUAGAAAAGCCACCAACAUAUGAAAUAAAAAGCCAGAGCUUCAACCUGCAAAUUCAGAAGCUAAAACAGCUGGAAAAACUACUCACAUCAACGAAGGAAAACGAGACAAUAUGUUUUCAAGUUUUAAAAUUAUUAGAAGCUCUUCAAGAGCUGCAGUUGACACAUUCUUUUUGUUAACAGAAAAGGCUCUUGCAAAUAUAAAACAAGGUGCAAAUUAGAAGAAAAAAUGUAAAUUGCCUCACAACAUGCAUUUAUCUCCAUUAACAUCUAAAAGCAUAGUGAAUAAAAGUAUAGUUGGAGGCUUGGAGCCACUCACUUACACCUAUUCUAAAUCGACGGUGAACUGUGGAAUAUGAGGAGAGGUUGACCGAAUCUGAAAAUUUGGGGCUUUCUGUAAAAAAUUUAGGGCUUUUGUUUUUCAAUGGGAAUUGGGAAAAUUAGAGACGAGAUAGAGAGGGAAAGCUUACCAGCGGCGGCCUCACCGGAAGCUCACGGCCGAAACGGCAGAUGGAGGAUGAGAGGAGAAUUAGGGCUUUCCCCCUUUACUACCUCGAUUAUGUGGAGUUGAGAAGAGAACCGGCCGUNACU
rnacentral:lncRNA from 1 species